rnacentral:lncRNA from 1 species
AAGCAGAGGCUACACAACAAAAACCCAUGCUCACCGCUACCCUAGCAAGAGUGUCGCCCAUCGAAUUCCUCUCCCUGUUACCGUGCACAAAACUGACAGAAUUAAGUUGUUCAAUCCCAUUCUCCAUUUCAUUACAUAACGAGAGUAAUCUCCAAAGGGCCUUAUUUCUAGCCUAACACACAGCAAGGGUAUAAUCACUUCAAUGACAAGAUUCACGAAACAUGCAUUUGACAUAGAAGUCAAAAUCACAAUAGCUUCUCGAAGGUUAGAAACUUAGCGGUAAUGGAGUUAAGGAUACCAAUAUUCUUCGAGAACAAGCAUUUAAUCCACGCUUUCUUAUCCCUAAGGCACCUCCUGAUGCCAGCUGAACUCGGCUUUUCCCACACAGAAGCAUCAACGUUUCCACCACUAAAGGCAUCUUUUGUAAUGAAAAUGCGGUCAAUAGUUUCAGGAUUCUCAACGCAGAAAGGACAGAAAAUUUUGCACCUCAAGUUUGCGCUGACAAUGGUGGAGGUAAUCAAUAUCAGUUAACCGGUCCUUAAUCAAUUGCCAUGUAAAAGUCUAGACCUUCGAAGGGAAGGGAUUUUCGCUUCCACGCCAUAAAAAAGAACCAAAACUUAUAUAACAACUGUGUAACUUCUACUUGCAUAAUUUCGUUAGAGAUAUAGUAGGAGGAUUGGUUUGUUGUAUCAUGGGUAGAUUA